AAGUGCUGUUGGUGUCACUGUGCAACUUGGGUAUUUCUUUUUCCUCAAGUGUUUGCUCAGAGGAACUGGCCACCAAGGACUUCUCCAGCUUUUCCCAGACCUAGACGUCUGAGCCUCUCUCAGAGGUCUCAAAAUAGCCAGCUCUCUCUCUCUUUCAAUCUCUCUCUCUCUCUCUCUCUCUCUCUCUCUCUCUCUCUCUCUCUCUCUCUCUCUCUCUCUGUGUGUGUGUGUGUGUGUGUGCGUACACGCAUGCACACAGGCUCACUUGCUGGAAAGUGUGUUUAUGGCAGUGUGCAUAGCUAUAGAGAGGCCAAGGAGGGUUGAGAAGUGAAGUAAUCUCGUGGACCAAGACAGUGGCUCCUGGUACACAACUCAGGAUGAAGUCCCCUUGGGAAGCCCUCAAGAUCACCCCUCUGGUUCUUCUGCUGUCUCACUCGUUGGCCUCUGCACCCUAUGAGGACCAGCCAGGUACCAGCUACUCAGAGGGCCACGACUGUGUAGGGUGUGUGGUGGUGGUAUCUGUGAUUGAGCAGCUGGCUGAAGUGCACAACUCCUCAGUCCAGGAGGCGAUGGAGAGACUAUGCAGCUACCUGCCUGAGAAACUCUUCUUGAAAGCCACCUGCUAUUACUUGGUUCAGAUGUUUGGAUCAGACAUCAUAAAACUACUUGGUGAAGCUAUGAAUGCUGAUGUAGUGUGCCAUGCUCUGGAAUUUUGUAAGCAGGAUGGGAUCCAAUCACAGUGUCAUCUCUACCCUCUUCCCCAGGAGGCCUGGAAAUUUACACUGGAGAAGGCGAAACGCAUCCUCAAGAGGUCCUCUACUGUGAAAUAUCAUAGAAGUGGCUCCAAUAUUUGUUCACUACCAUUUUUGGCCAAGAUCUGCCAGAAAAUUGAAUUAUCUGUAAAGAAGUCUGUGCCAUUCAAAGAUGUAGAUUCCGACAAACACAGUGUUUUUCCAACAUUACGGGGAUACCACUGGCGAGGGAGAGACUGUAAUGACAGUGACAAGACAGUGUACCCAGGCAGAAGGCCAGACAACUGGGAUGUCCAUCAGGACUCCAACUGUAAUGGCAUUUGGGGUAUUGAUCCAAAAGAUGGAAUUCCAUAUGAGAAGAAAUUCUGUGAAGGUUCACAGCCCAGGGGAAUCAUUUUGCUGGGAGACUCAGCUGGGGCUCAUUUUCACAUCCCUCCUGAAUGGCUGACAGCUUCACAGAUGUCUUUGAAAUCCUUCUUUAACUUGCCAUCAGCCCUGACCGAUGAGCUCAACUGGCCCCAACUCUCUGGUGUCACUGGAUUUCUGGACUCCACUAGUGGAAUUGAAGAAAAAUCUAUUUACCAUCGUUUGAGGAAAAGAAACCAUUGCAAUCACAGGGACUACCAGAGUAUCUCCAGAAAUGGUGCAUCUUCCAGAAAUCUGAAGAAUUUCAUAGAAAGCUUGUCUAGGAACCAGGCAUUGGACCAACCAGCCAUUGUAAUUUAUGCCAUGAUUGGAAACGACGUCUGCAAUGGGAAGACAGACCCGGUACCAGAAAUGACCACUCCUGAGCAAAUGUACUCCAACGUCAUGCAGACUCUGAAGCAUCUGAAUUCCCAACUGCCCAAUGGCAGUCACGUUAUUUUAUAUGGUUUGCCAGAUGGAACUUUUCUUUGGGAUAGUUUGCACAACCAGUACCACCCUCUAGGCCAGCUAAAUAAAGACGUGACCUAUGCACACUUCUUCUCCUUCCUAAGCUGCCUCCAGGUCAGCCCCUGUAAUGGCUGGAUGUCUUCCAACAAGACCCUCCGGACUCUCACUUCACAGAGAGCAGAACAACUCUCCAAUACACUGAAAAAAAUUGCAACCACUGAGACAUUCACAAACUUCAAUCUUUUCUACAUGGAUUUUGCCUUCCAUGAAAUCAUAGAGGAGUGGCAGAAAAGAGGUGGCCAACCAUGGCAGCUUAUUGAACCUGUAGAUGGAUUCCACCCCAAUGAGAAUAAUGUGAAACUCCAUCCCCUGUUUUAGAAGAGGGUACUCCUUCUGCUCCCUAGGCUUCUGUGACCAAAUGAUCCUUCCUUCCUCAGCUGCCUACCUAGUCAGGACUAAAGACAAGUGGGACACUUCCUCCGACUGAAGCAGGAGUUCUUGAGCUCGUCUUGGUACAACAGAAUUCUGAUUCCAUAAAGGAUCGAGGCAUGGAAAGUGGUCAGCUAUGGUGUCACCCAAAGCCAAACACUAAGAAGGUGGCUUCACUGCUGCUGGCAGACCGUGUCUGGAAGAAGAUACAGACCCAGUGGCCUCAGGUCCUGGGAAGGGAGAAUCCAUUCAAUUCUCAGAUUGAAGAAGUGUUUGGAGACCAAGGAGGACACUGACAUUCAGAC